GACAGAGGGUGCAAACGUUGUUCGGAAUCACUGGGCGUAAAGCGUGCGUAGGCGGUCUUGUAAGUCGGAUGUGAAAGCCCUGGGCUCAACCUAGGAAGUGCACUCGAUACUGCGAGACUUGAGUACUGGAGAGGUUGGUGGAAUUCUCGGUGUAGAGGUGAAAUUCGUAGAUAUCGUAAGGAAGACCAGUGGCGAAGGCGAGUCUCUGGACAGCAACUGACGCUGAGGCACGAAGGCCAGGGGAGCAAACGGG
rnacentral:rRNA from 1 species